GACAGGGGCCUCGAGCGUUAAUCGGAAUCACUGGGCUUAAAGGGUGCGUAGGCGGGCCUGCAAGUGCUCCGUGAAAUCCCCCGGCUCAACCGGGGAACUGCGGGGCAUACUGCGGGUCUUGAGGAAGGUAGGCGCCGAGGGAACAGUAGGUGGAGCGGUGAAAUGCGUAGAUAUCUACUGGAACGCCGAUGGUGAAGACGCUCGGCUGGGCCUUUCCUGACGCUGAGGCACGAAAGCGUGGGGAGCAAACAGG
rnacentral:rRNA from 1 species